rnacentral:lncRNA from 7 species
CUACUGCCUGCAGGAAGAACUCCCUCCGAACAGAUUCUCUACCUGAGCAUCAGGGAAGGAAAUAAAUCUGGAACUGGUGACAUUUCAAGGACAAGGAAAACAACCGCUCGGAGAAUUAUCUGAUUCCGUUGGUGUUUAUUUUUACUUAUAUCUAGCAAUCUGCGCUCCAACAGAAGAUGCUUAUUUGCAGAAAAGAAGGCUGUCUCCUGUCUGGACUGGUGCCUGGUCUGGAGAAAAGAUGGCACUAAGGACAAGAGCAACUUCCAACUGCCUGUACCCAUAAAAUGGUGGAAAAUAAAGGGACUGAAAGCAGCAAGAAGGGAUGUAAGAGUCUGGAAAAGAAAAUCUAUUUUCUCCACAGUGAAGCAAGUUUUAAUCCAAGUUUUGUUUUACUACUCCAUUGAAGACAACAUACUGUAUGUUUUUCAUAUUUUCUGUGCUGUAAACAAGGAAACUGGAUUAUUUAACUUUUAAUUUCAUUUAAUCAUCCUCUCAUACCUCACAUUUAUCUGUUUGCUUAUUACCAUAUUAUCUAUGGAUGCAGCAGCUAAAUGUCAUUAUUUUUAUUGUACAAAUAGGGCACUCAGAAACAAAAUGCUUAUCCAAGUAGGCCAGUGGCAGAGGUAGAAAUAUAACUGUGGGUUAAUGUCCAGUAACAAAAAAAAAAAUGGGAUUUUCAUCUACAGUGCUCUUGGAUUUAAAAUAUUAUUUUGCCUGGUUCAAAGACACUGUAUUAUGUCUCCACAUGGCUUUUUCUUAGAGCUGUGCAGCUGGAGUACUAGUGUUCUGAAAUGUCCCAACUGAAUUUCAAAUGAAUAUCAGAAAUAGGCACGGAUAUACAUGAUACAUGCAGAAUAUGUAUCUAGGGAAAUCACAGAAGAUCUAGUUUCCACUAGUUGGUUAUACAUAAAUUAUUUAGGCAAUCUUCAUAAGCCUGUUGAUUAGCUGGAGGCAGAUAUCUAUUUUAGGUGUACUUAGGGUCAGGAUUAACUCACAAAACUUGGAUGGCAUUGUCCAUAAAACAGCUAGAAUUAUUUCAGCAAUCUCAUCCGAAAAUGAGGUAUUCUCCUUUAUCACUUUUAAAUGUAUGUAUUUUAGCUUUCCCUAACGAAGAGGAUGACAUUUCUGGAAAUGAUGUGUUAAAUGUCUUACAAAGUUAUACUAGAAACUAUUUAGGUGACUGGAGAAAGAACAGGACUGAGAGCCAGGAGACUAUUUCUAUUUCUAGUUCUGCCAUAGAUUUUGUGACUUUGAACCUCAGCUUGUGCUUCUGUGAAAUGGGGAUGAUAAUAUUUACUGUUCUCUCAGGGAUAUUUUGUAAUGCAAUUUUCAUGGUGGUCUCUGAAAUGCCUGAGAUCCUUGAUUACAGUGUUCAAAUGAAAGCAAUUACU